rnacentral:lncRNA from 1 species
GCACACAAAUCCUGUGCCAGGGAAGUACUUUUGUUUUUGAGUUUUGAUCCUGGGAAGUCUCAGCUAUUAUGGAGUGGGGAGUUAUGGGGCCAUCAUUCUUUUUCUUUCCUAGUGUUCAUAGCAAUAAAUGGUCAUCCCUUUUCUGCUGAGCAACCACCAGUCCUGGGGGAUUCACUGGGAAGAGUUGGCGGCAGCAGCCACAAGCUAGACCCUGACCCAGGGGAAAAGGAACCACUGAUGUGCAGAGCUCUUAGGCCCAGAUAACUAAUAGUGGAGCAUUCCAGUUGUAGGAAUGGCUGCAAAACAAAGAAAACAAACUGAUAAACUUUAUCUUCAAGUGUGAGAACUUGACAUUUAAGAGAACCAGUGACCUCGGCACAUUUCCUUUAGUGACUUUGUGUAAAUACCUGACAACCAGAGUUUCUUUGUUCUUCUAGCCUACAGAGCAAAGAAUCUUGGAUGCCCUAGUCCAGUGCUUGUCAUGGUGUCCCCAGCCCCAUCCCAAGUGAAGACCCUUGCACCAGUAGGUCCUCUAGAGCACGAGCACGCUCUUGUCUUCAAAGGACAUUGGGGCAGCCAUGAAAAGACACUCAGGAAAGAAGACUUCCAGAACAGCUUCAAAACGUGGCAAGAAAGAUGGGAUGAGUGUGUUCAAAGCCA